rnacentral:sRNA from 12 species
UGCCUAACCCUCGUGAAUUAAAAAUUCCGAGGUAUGGCAGAAAAAUACGGUUCAGGUUAUUAAGCUCCUAGUCAGAGCACCUGAACCGUCAUAUCCGAAAGGGUAUGGGUGGCGCAAGCCAUC